CUCCAGCAUUGUUGACUGACGAUAUUUUCAACCUGCACUCUGGAUGUGACAGAAGCGUCUGCACUUCUUUCAAACUUCUAAGUGGGGAUCUAUCAGAUUGGCUUACGAUGUGGCCUGGAUAGUCCCACAAUGGCUGUCUCUCACUGGAGAAGCUGAGAAUCUGGCGUUGAUGGCUUGGAGGACUCCCGGGAAAGCUGCUGCUCUUCAGGCUGUGCUGGAAUCCCGGAGAACAGGUGAAGGGAUGCCAUAGCAACAGGAAGGAUGAACUUGCCAGCAGGGAUGACAGCAAGCAGACAGAAUGCAAAGCUUCCCUCUUCCACGUCCUUUGAUCUGUGUGGCUAUAGGGUGAACCUUCCACUUCAAAUAGCCCAAUCAUGAAAAUCCCUCGCAGGCAUGCCCAGCAGCUUACACUUGAGUGGAUUCGAGACCCAGUGACGUCAACAACCAAGGUGGAUGCUGUGGUGGUGCUGAAACAUUUUUCAAGCAGGCUCGAAACACUGGGUUCGAUCCCCAACACCAUCAAAAACUAAGUCGGAAGUUCUGAAACCAGGUGAUACAUCUUUAUUAAAACGCAACACUUUAAAAGA